rnacentral:rRNA from 1 species
GUAGGUGGCAAGCGUUGUCCGGAAUUAUUGGGCGUAAAGCGCGCGCAGGCGGUUCUUUAAGUCUGAUGUGAAAGCCCACGGGCUCAACCGUGGAGGGUCAUUGGAAACUGGAGAACUUGAGUACAGAAGAGGAAAGCGGAAUUCCACGUGUAGCGGUGAAAUGCGUAGAGAUGUGGAGGAACACCAGUGGCGAAGGCGGCUUUCUGGUCUGUAACUGACGCUGAGGCGCGAAAGCGUGGGGAGCAAACAGGAUUAGAUACCCUGGUAGUCCACGCCGUAAACGAUGAGUGCUAAGUGUUAGGGGGUUUCCGCCCCUUAGUGCUGCGGCUAACGCAUUAAGCACUCCGCCUGGGGAGUACGGCCGCAAAGGCUG